rnacentral:rRNA from 1 species
CCUACGGGAGGCAGCAGUGGGGAAUAUUGGACAAUGGGCGCAAGCCUGAUCCAGCAAUGCCGCGUGAGUGAUGAAGGCCUUCGGGUUGUAAAGCUCUUUCGCACGCGACGAUGAUGACGGUAGCGUGAGAAGAAGCCCCGGCUAACUUCGUGCCAGCAGCCGCGGUAAUACGAAGGGGGCUAGCGUUGUUCGGAAUUACUGGGCGUAAAGGGCGCGUAGGCGGCCUGUUCAGUCAGGAGUGAAAGCCCCGGGCUUAACCUGGGAACCGCUCUUGAUACUGGCAGGCUUGAGUUCCGGAGAGGAUGGUGGAAUUCCCAGUGUAGAGGUGAAAUUCGUAGAUAUUGGGAAGAACACCGGUGGCGAAGGCGGCCAUCUGGACGGACACUGACGCUGAGGCGCGAAAGCGUGGGGAGCAAACAGGAUUAGAUACCCUAGUAGUC